rnacentral:rRNA from 1 species
GACGAACCGUCCAAACGUUAUUCGGAAUUAUUGGGCUUAAAGGGUGCGUAGGCUGUGCAGUAAGUUGGGUGUGAAAUCCCUCGCUCAACCGAGGAACUGCGCCGAAUACUGCUGUGCUAGAGGGAGAUAGGGGUAAGCGGAACUGAUGGUGGAGCGGUGAAAUGCGUUGAUAUCAUCAGGAACACCGGUGGCGAAGGCGGCUUACUGGAUCUCUUCUGACGCUGAUGCACGAAAGCUAGGGGAGCGAACGGG